AGGUGUUUUUCUUUGUGUCAGUCCCGCUCCUGCUGCUGCCACCCCCACACAAUCGCUUGAACCUGUCGCACAGAACAGGCAGAUGAUGACUCACGACUUUCUGAAAGGUUCGAGUGAAACUCGAGGAAGGGGGAGGAGAUAAAACAAACCGCACCUGUUUCACCUCUCUCGGUGAGUCACACAGCCAGUCGAAUCUCGAGGAAUUGCCAAGAGUUGCAGCUCGGCGUCUAAAACGUCUACGAGGCCGUUGCUGUUGGUCGUGACCAAGGUUCAGCACACCGUCGUCGUCGGGCUGGGAAGCAGCUCAGCUCAAGUCACAGUCGGUGGAGAUGUUUUCCCUAGCUAUUAUCAGUGGACUGGGUUGGACGGAAGAUCGUUGAAACGGAAAGCGGGAGUUCAUGGUGAAGGUCAGAUUUGUUAACUCAGUGUGCAAUUUGACGAUGAAGAUUUUGCAGCAUCCCACACUCUCACCCGCGCGCCGUUCCUGCCAGAGCUCAGCAUGUGGGACACCAAAUCACGACCACGACGGUUGGAGGCCCCUCAGCAGGGGUCCGACAACGGCUUGGUUGCCCCCGGUGGCGUGGAGAGCUCGGCGAUCAUCUACUUCAAUUAAAAUUAAUAAAUCAUUUCGGAGUCCGGUCGAGACUCUGCUGCUCUGGAUCACUUUUGCCAGUACCCCUUGGAAGGGGGUACGUGACAGAUCCAGUUUCAACGAGUAUUGAAGUCACUUUGGGGUCCGGCGUCCAGUAGUGUCAUUAAAUUUUGUCAAAUAUGGUCACAAAUUGAGAGUAGCUUAAACGGUGCAAAGGAAUCAAAUGUUUAUCAAAUUUAAAAAUAAUUUUUAAUUAUUCUCGAUAGACGAGUAUUCAGACGAAGACGAUAACCAAAAUACCAAUAAAAUGUUCAUAUCGAUACGAAUAUCACAGCGUAGUUUGUCACGCAGAAGCCUCCAUUAUCCGGAAACCCGGGACGAGACAGCUGUUUAUUAAAAUACUUGAAAUAGUUUUCCGAUCUCGAAGACGGAGUUGGGAGGUCCUGGAGAAGGAAAGGUUCGGAACGUGUAGACAGGAAAGAGAGCAAGUCAUUAUUGCUGGCGUGGUAGCUAUACGACAAAUUUGACGUUUGGAAAGAGUGUGUUCCGGGGCAUAAUCGGCGUCCUAUGACCAGGACAAGCCCAAGCCAGACA